rnacentral:lncRNA from 1 species
GCUAACUCAGGGGCAUUGUGGGUAAAUACUGGGUAAAUACUGUCUCUUAGUGGUGGAGAUAGAUGGUCUAGAGCUAACUCAGGGGCAUUGUGGGUAAAUACUGGGUAAAUACUGUCUCUUAGUGGUGGAGAUAGAUGGUCUAGAGCUAACUCAGGGCAUUGUGGGUAAAUACUGGUUAAAUACUGUCUCUUAGUGGUGGAGAUAGAUGGUCUAGAGCUAACUCAGGGGCAUUGUGGGUAAAUACUGUCUCUUAGUGGUGGAAUAGAUGGUCUAGAGCUAACUCAGGGCAUUGUGGGUAAAUACUGUCUCUUAGUGGUGGAGAUAGAUGGUCUAGAGCUAACUCAGGGGCAUUGUGGGUAAAUACUGGGUAAAUACUGUCUCUUAGUGGUGGAGAUAGAUGGACUAUAGCUAACUCAGGGGCAUUGUGGGUAAAUACUGUCUCUUAGUGGUGGAGUAGAUGGUCUAGAGCUAACUCAGGGCAUUGUGGGUAAAUACUGGGUAAAUACUGUCUCUUAGUGGUGGUGAUAGAUGGUCUAUAGCUAACUCAGGGCAUUGUGG